UACGAAGGAUGCAAGCGUUAUCCGGAUUCAUUGGGUUUAAAGGGUGCGUAGGUGGUCUUAUAAGUCAGUGGUGAAAUCUCGCAGCUUAACUGCGAAACUGCCAUUGAUACUGUAGGACUUGAGUAUAGUUGCUGUGGGCGGAAUAUGACAUGUAGUGGUGAAAUACUUAGAGAUGUCAUAGAACACCGAUUGCGAAGGCAGCUCACAAAACUAUAACUGACACUGAGGCUCGAAAGUGCGGGGAUCAAACAGG
rnacentral:rRNA from 1 species